rnacentral:rRNA from 1 species
AUGGCGGCGGCGGCGGCGAGCGUCGGAGGCGGGGCGGCGCCGUUCGUGUGGAAGACGUACCGGAUGGUGGAGGACCCCGGGACGGACGGGGUCAUCGGGUGGGGGAAGGGCAACAACAGCUUCGUCGUCGCCGACCCCUUCGUCUUCUCGCAGACCAUGCUGCCCGCGCACUUCAAGCACAACAACUUCUCCAGCUUCGUCCGCCAGCUCAACACCUAUGGCUUCCGCAAGGUGGAUCCGGACCGGUGGGAGUUCGCCCACGGCUCCUUCCUCCGGGGCCAGACGCACCUCCUGCGCAACAUCGUCCGCCGUGGCACCGCCGUCGGCGGCGGCGGCGGCGGCAAGCGCAAGGACGCGGUGGCGGCCGGCCUCACCGACGACGACAUGACGAUGGUCGCCACGGAGGUGGUGAGGCUGAAGAAGGAGCAGAACACCAUCGACGACAGGGUGGCCGCCAUGUGGCGCCGCGUGCAGGAGACCGAGCGGAAGCCCAAGCAGAUGCUCGCGUUCCUCCUCACGGUCGUCGGCGACCGCGACACGCUGCAGCGCCUGGUCGGCAACAGCGGCAACGCGGCCGGCGGCGAGCAAGGGCCCGUGGAGGGCGGUGAGAAGAGGGCGAGGAUGCUGCUUGACGGCGACUUCGGCAACGUGUCCGCGUUUGGGCCGGACGCCGUCGACUUCGCGGGGUUCUACACCGACGACGCAUUCGCCAGUGUGCCGGUGCCGGUGGAGGCGGCCGCCGGGCCGGGCGGAGGUGGUGCCGGCUGCACGUUCGCUUUUGGAGUGGACAGUGGGUACUGA